AUAAACAUAAUAGCAUUGGAUUGAAAAAGAUGUUCAAUAAUAACAUCCAUAGGUCCAUAUUAAUUCCAGAUAUCAUUCCAUUACUGAAAAAAAAAGUGAAAACGUUCAAAGCUUAAUGCCUACACGUACACUAGUCAGCAUCGCAGAUACAAAAAGUAAGUCAAUCCACCAAUUGUUUACACUAAACAAUGGAAAAUUCAGUAUGCCCAGAAAAUGGCAGAGCUGACGUACUUUUGUUCCUUGGGAUUAAUUCUAGAGAGAGGCACUCCAGGAGAGCCAUUCCUCGCUGCAUUCCUUAUAGCUGCCACCUCCACAUUACAAAACUCAAGUUUGGCAUGUGACAUUGUGAGUAGUAUAAGAGACAUACUAGCUGUCAGAAACCAUGUGCUUUUGUUUGCUAACAAAGCCAUGUUGCUUUGGGGGUGAGGUCACCAGAGGCACAUGUUUGCUGACAUCACUGGGAGCUGUCCGAAGCAGGCCUACAUCACUGGAGAUGGUCAAAGGAGGGCCUGUGUCGUCAAAAAUGGCCAAAUCCAGGCCUAUGCCCCCAACCCUGAAGUUCUACCCCCCACUCCUCCACCCCCACCCCAGAUUAUGCCUGGGCAUACCCAGAAGGUGGGCAUGUGACCCCUCUAUGAACACGUCCCACCACUCUGGACCAAUAGGAAAAGGUUUCAGAGCUCAGAGCCCAGGGUAAUUUUAAAGUGUGUUUUUCCCCCUAGGAAAGUGAGGAGCCAUGCCUUCACAUGCAACCUCUAGCCAUGUGGAUCCUAGCAGCAUCAGGAAACAUGCAUAUAAAGCGUAACUGACAAACAUCCAGGAAGAGGUGUUCCUAUAUAGAUCCUGCAUCCUGAGAAUCAUCAUGGUAUUUAAUUUAAACCAUAAGUCUUGCAUUUACACCACUUAGAGAUGAACGUAUCAGGUGGUAUGAAAAUAAAAUUUAAUCUGAACUACAAGCAACACAGGAAGGUGUUGAGUCAUUCUGCAUAUUUCUGAUGAUUGCAGAGGAAACCCUACAUCCUGCGCCAGGAAACUCUGAGAAUACUAAAGAUGGCAGAACAGAUGCAAAAAGGAAGCCCUUUUCUAAGGAUGGUAACUCGCUGGAACAGGCCCAUCCCAACAGGAUCUGGAGGAAGAAAUGGAGAGUGAUUAUUGCACCCCCAGACCCCUAUGAAGACAGGACAUGCUUAGUUGGAAGAACCAACCAACUGAUGAAGCUGAAAAGUGGAGAAAAGUGGCAAUGGAAGAAAUUGAUUCCUUGCACAAAGUGGAGACUUGGAGACUUGUGGAACUACCCGCUGGGAGAAAGACCGUGGGAUGCAAGUGGGUCUACAAAGUCCAGCAGGAACAGCCACCAGGCAUGAGGAAUCUGGAAGGAAGCAUCUAUGGCUUAAGGCAAGCAGCCAGAGCAUGGAAUGAGAAACUGCUACUUAAGGAGGGGUUCGCUCAAGGAAAAGCCGACCCCUGCCUAUAUUCUUGAUUCAGAGACAAUCGAUGGACUUACAUCCUAACACUGAUGGUUUGAUUCUUGUACAUGAGGAAAAGCAAGACAGCCAUGUAAUUGUACGGCACCUGACGAAGGAAAGAGAGGUGAAGAAACUCGGAAGCUUUUCCUCUUACCUUGGCAUCCAAAUAGCAAAAGAAGGGCAUUGGACAUUCCGCAGUGCCAAGGCCAGAUAUUGCCUCUGCAGCUGGAAUCCUGAGCAUAAAUUAGAGUGCACCAAACAACAAGGAUUGGAUAGCAGUCCCAAGGCUGGGAAGAUACCUGAAAGGUACUGCACGCUAUGUACUGUAGAUUCCAACAAGUAGCAAUCCCUAAGUUGUGGGAUAUAUGAAUGCAGCCUGAGGCGAAGACAGAACAGACCGCAAGUCCACAAGUGGACACCUGUUCCUUUUUGGAGGUAAGCCAUAACUUGGAGUUGCCAUGAGCUUGUUGCACAAUCAUCUACAGAAGCAGAGGCUGUUACAGCAAGUGAAGCGUGCCAAUAAGUAGUAUGGAUACACCAACUAUUAUCAGACUUUGGAGUCGAGGAACCAAAGCCCCAGUGAUGUUUGAGGAUACCAAAAUUGUAUCGGAUCUCACAAAUGGAGAAGAUGAAGUCUCACACUAAGCAUAUCCAGGGAGGAUAGCAGUCCACCAACACCUACCAUCCAAUGAGACCGAACUUGAACAGUUCUGUAUGGAGGAGUGGGCAAAUAUUGCUCCGUCUAGAUGUGCAAGGUUGAUAGAGAAGUAUCCCAACAGACUCAAGGCUGUUAUUAAAGCAAAAGGUGGUUCAACAAAAUAUUGACAUGGGGGGGGGCGGUGAUCAUUUUUCAAUCUCAGUUAUUCUUGUUUUUUAUUUCUGACACUUUUUCUGGACUGUAAUUGUGAUGUUUUUCAGUUGGAUGUUAUAGGUUGCAUUGGAUAAGUACAGCUGGUGAAGGGAAUUUUCUUUGUGUUUUCAUUUCAGGAUGUAAGGGAACCAGAAUUUAAGGUCUAUCAAAGGGGGUGAUUCUUUCCUAUACCCACUGUAGGGGUGAAAAGCCACCUUCUGCUGCUAAUUCUUUGGAAAAUGAGCAAACGGAAUAUGUUGCCAAUCCUACAUAGGUGUCAUUAAACCUAUCACCAGAACAAAACCUGGCAGCAGAUGCAGAAACUACUGCUGAUCCUUUGGUUGCUGCUAAACAAUUGGAGCCACAACCAGGUACAUCUGCUGUGGCAGCACCCAGUGUUGAUGCUGCUUUGGGAUGGGACUGCAGUCAGACGCCUCUGCAGAAUCUCAUGCUAAUAUGGUUCCGCAUGUACACCUAGAACUUGUCUGGAGGUGGGAGAGGGUCUUAGUGAAGCAGAGGGGCCUAGAGGUGUAUCAGGAAUUUCAUUUUGUGAGUCUAGAUAAAGCAUCCUCUUAUCCUGAAACAGUUGCUGGGACAUAUUCUGCCAUUUAGCAAUUGUUGAACACUGUGAACAAGAGAAUAAGGCCACGUGACCUUGUCCAGCUCAGAUUACAUGGGGAUGGAACAUCUAACCAUCUGUGUACUGUUAGAAAGCACAGAAGUGCUGAGGAACUUUUCACAACCAUUGGGAACUUGCUCCAGAGUUCUGCAGAAAUCUUUGGGGAUGCAACUUUAAGAUUACUUGUCAUUGUCAUUUCCCCUCCAGGGGAAACACAUUAUAGUGCCAUCAUAGUAAAAAAGAAGCAACACAUGGUAAAUGUCAAUAUUCAUAACACCAACCUCUGUUUUGCAGGGGGACUUGUGGCUAUCAUGUCUGAGAAUCCCCCUGCUUCAGAAAUAAUAGCCAGUGCUAGGAACUUGCACAAUGAUCUUGGCUGGUCAGAUCAGAAAAAGAAUUCUCUCUCUGAUAUAGCGUUUCUUGAACAGCAUUUACAGAUCAAAAUACUUGUAGUUCACUGGGGUGAAAAAGGCUGGGGGUGUUUAAAACCCCCGAGCAGAAGUACUCUCAAAUAUGUUUUACAUUUGUUCACAAUUAAUACUAUUAUGGGAUCAAGAAUGUAAAAGGUUGCUUUGGGACAAGAAACUUUUGUCAAAUUUGCCAGACCCCAUAUACACAUUCCCAUGAUUGUCUGUUAAUGUGCUGUUGGAGCAAAGAGUGCAAGCAGAAAGUGGGCCAAAUAGAUGCUCCACAUGCAAACUACAAUGUAGAUCCCAUGCCUGCUUAGACAGACACAAAAAAAUUGCAGCAGAGCAAAAAGGGGAUUGUACAGUGAGAGAACUAUAUAAGAAUUGUGGCCAUUACAUAAGAGUUAGACCAUGAAAAGAAAUGAGAAUGCCAGGAAAACAGUGCAGAGUCUGUUGGGAGUAUUCUAAGGACCUUGAAAAAGUUGAAUGCUACAUGGGGAAAAUUUGAAAACCUGAAAUAUCUGUAAUGUAUGUGUCUUUUGACUGUGAAUGUACUAGGAAGACAGGACACAUGUUCCUAAUUACAUUUUUUGCAAAAGUAUUCCAAGGUGAAACAGUCACAAAGCUUCAAAAGUAUAGCAAGAAGCCAUGCCCCCCUCACUGAUAAAAGCUGGGAAUUUUGUGGAGAGUCAUGCCUGGCAGACUUCAUCCACAUAUUCACUAGUGACAUACAUUUUAAGAAGUGUUCCUUCCUGGCUCAUAAUUCCAGAAGUUUUGAUUGACUAUUGGUUCUGAAACAGCUGAUAAAAGAAGGCUUGAUGUUGACUUGAUUACCCAAGGGGGAAAGUUGCUGUGUAUCACUGUCAAAACCUUAGAUAUAAAAUUUAUAGAUUCCUUCUGUCAUUAACCAAUGGCACUAGCAAAAUUGCCUAAAGCCAUGGGGGUCCAAGAGUCCAAAGGGUAUUUCCCAAUUUCUUUAACAUGAAGGGAAAUUGGAAUUAUGUGGGUGGUGGGAUGCCAGAUGUAAAAUGCUAUGGCAUUGAAUUUGUGAUGCCUGCUGAAAAGGCUGAGCUCCUGGAAUGGUAUGAAAAGAACAAGUCAAACAUUUUUUACAUACAGAAAGAAUUGGCAGACUGUUGCCAACAAGAUGUAAACAUCUUAGAGCAGACCUACACAAAAUAUAGACAUGAGCUUCUAGAUGUGAAAGUGCCGAUAGUCUCUCUGCAGAAGGGCAAGCACACUGUCUAGCAUGUGCUUAAAGCUGUUUUGCUUCAUGUUUCUUCAAGUGUACCAGAUGGCAAUACCGGCUUCUGAUAAUUAUCACAGGCAAUAUAAAAGAUUCUCUAAAACUGACCACUCAAGAUGGCAUCCGUACAUGCUCACAUAUCAUUUCCUGCUGGGAACAGGGAACUUCCUGUUUCUAAGCAAAUGCAGCUGGGCAAACAGAGAGCCCAGCUGCUUAACACAAACAGUGCCACUCUGGGGGGGCGGGGGGCGGCAAAGGUGUAAUGGAGAGGGAGGUAAGACCUGCCUUCCUCCCUUUAAAGUGUCUGCACUCCACUGCCCCAGAUGUGCAUGAAACACUUUGGGCACAUCCCUAGUUUCUAACUCCGCUGUUAAGCUUCUCCAUCUCUCUGAUAAUAGGACUUCUAACUAAGAAGGAGCGCCUUCUCUGCGGCCAUCCCUCUUGUUUGGAACACUCUUUUCCUCCCCCAGAUUCAUUUAGCCCCCUCCCUAGCUGCUUAGAAGGCUCUUCUUAAGACCUAUCUGUUUCACAAGGUGUUUGCCCUUUAAUUUUUUUUUAAUGUCAUUUGUAUUGUUGUUCACUGCCUAGAGUCUUUGGAGGAGGCGGUAUAUAAGAAAUUCUAAAUAAAUAAAUAAAUAAAUAUUCUAAAUAGCCCCUGCUAACUGAGCAAAGAGGCAUCUUUUAAAAGUGGUGAUUCUCUUUAUUUAGCGGGGUGAGGGGAGCAACUGGCCCUAUCCAGUCCCAGCACAGCAUCCCUCCAGUGGCUGUUGCUGGUGUCAACUUUAUGUUUCAUUUUAGAUUGUGAGCGCUUUGGGGACAGGGAACCAUCUUAUUUCUGUAUUAUUUAUUUUUCUAUGUAAACUGCUUUGACAACUGUGGUUGAACGGCGAUAUAUAAAUAUCCAUAGUAGUAAAUAAUCAAUAAUGGAAUAUGCUGAAAAGAUGUACUUGGUCCCUAAAUACUAGCUAGAACAGCUAAAAGAAUAACAAUAAGAACAGUUAUUGUUAACCACCCAGUGACAGAAGUUUGGGGAGGUGUACAAAUCUGAUAAAUAAAUAAAUAAAAAUUUUAAAAAGAGCCCUCAGGAGGAAAACAUCAGAAUUCCGAUAAUCUAUGCUUUAGGAACUGAAAUGCAAGGUGUUCUUCAGAGGUCUGGCUUCACUGAAUAUGAAAAAGCUAAACUUUAUUUAUUUAUUUAUUUAUUUGAUUUGAUUUGAUUUGAUUUGAUUUCUAUACCACCCUUACAAAAAUGGCUCAGGGCCAUUUAUGAGGCCCUACUCAAAAAAUAUAUAACCCACGUGAGGCAGGGAGAAGCAUGACAGGGAGAACUAAACCUUCAGCCGGAGUAGGCCUCCGCUGGCGUUUCCCAAAAUUCUGAUGCCAUCUUCCAAGAGGUCUUGGGUAGCUUACCUGCAAGGUCCAAGAACUCAGCAAAGAUUCUGUCAAAGAAGUGGAAGCAGAACACAGAGGUUUCUUUGCCACCUUUGUGUCCAAGGGUGAGACUGUUGGUGUCUCCAACACACUGGUUCUGGUCAAAGAUAUCACACAAGUUUGCGAGCUGCACAUUUUGCACCCAAUCACUUCCCUAGAGGCUGGGAUGUUUUAAUGAGGGCUGUGGUUGAACUAAACGUUUUAACUUCUGCAGCAGGAAAUGGUACCACCAGGGAUGCUUUAGAAUAUCUUUUUUUUGAAAAAAACCCAAAACCCCCAAACCCCUAGCAGUGUGUCUCUGUCACCUAGCACUUCUUGCCGGGUUUCUAAAAAACAGAGGAAAUCUAACUGGAUAAAAUUUUAAUGUCUUUAUGUUUUUCAUAUUUAAAAUAAAAUUGCUUUCAUCAAA